UUAAAUUGAAGAGUUUGAUCAUGGCUCAGAUUGAACGUUGGCGGCAGGCCUAAUACAUGCAAGUCGAGCGGAAACGAUGGGAGCUUGCUCUCAGGCGUCGAGCGGCGGACGGGUGAGUAACGCGUAGGAAUCUACCCAGUAGCGGGGGAUAGCCCGAGGAAACUCGGAUUAAUACCGCAUACGCCCCACGGGGGAAAGGCCGGGAUCUUCGGACCGGUCACUAUUGGAGGAGCCUGCGUAGGAUUAGCUUGUUGGUGAGGUAAAGGCUCACCAAGGCCACGAUCCUUAGCUGGUCUGAGAGGACGAUCAGCCACACUGGAACUGAGACACGGUCCAGACUCCUACGGGAGGCAGCAGUAGGGAAUAUUGUGCAAUGGGCGAAAGCCUGACACAGCCAUGCCGCGUGUGUGAAGAAGGCCCUAGGGUUGUAAAGCACUUUCAGUAGGGAGGAAUUAGUAGGGUUAAUAACUCUGCGAAAUGACGUUACCUACAGAAGAAGCACCGGCAAACUCCGUGCCAGCAGCCGCGGUAAUACGGAGGGUGCGAACGUUAAUCGGAAUUACUGGGCGUAAAGCGCGCGUAGGUGGUUUAUUAAGUGGGAUGUGAAAGCCCCGGGCUUAACCUGGGAACUGCAUUCCAAACUGAUGAACUAGAGUACGAUAGAGGGGGGUAGAAUUCAGAGUGUAGCGGUGAAAUGCGUAGAUAUUCUGAGGAAUACCGGUGGCGAAGGCGGCCCCCUGGAUUGAUACUGACACUGAGGUGCGAAAGCGUGGGGAGCAAACAGGAUUAGAUACCCUGGUAGUCCACGCCGUAAACGAUGUCUACUAGCCGUUGGGAGGCUUGACCUCUUAGUGGCGAAGCUAACGCGAUAAGUAGACCGCCUGGGGAGUACGGUCGCAAGAUUAAAACUCAAAUGAAUUGACGGGGGCCCGCACAAGCGGUGGAGCAUGUGGUUUAAUUCGAUGCAACGCGAAAAACCUUACCAGGCCUUGACAUCCUGAGAAUUCGGUAGAGAUACCUUAGUGCCUUCGGGAACUCAGUGACAGGUGUUGCAUGGCUGUCGUCAGCUCGUGUCGUGAGAUGUUGGGUUAAGUCCCGUAACGAGCGCAACCCUUAUCCUUAUUUGCCAGCACAUUAUGGUGGGAACUUUAAGGAGACUGCCGGUGACAAACCGGAGGAAGGAGAGGAUGAUGUCAAGUCAUCAUGGCCCUUACGGCCUGGGCUACACACGUGCUACAAUGGACAGUACAGAGGGCCGCAAUACUGCGAAGUGGAGCAAAUCCCAAAAAACUGUUCGUAGUCCGGAUCGGAGUCUGCAACUCGACUCCGUGAAGUCGGAAUCGCUAGUAAUCGCGAAUCAGCAUGUCGCGGUGAAUACGUUCCCGGGCCUUGUACACACCGCCCGUCACAUCAUGGGAGUGGGCUGCAAAAGAAGUGGCUAGUCUAACCUUCGGGAGGACGGUCACCACUUUGUGGUUCAUGACUGGGAUGAAGUCGUAACAAGGUAGCCGUAGGGGAACCUGCGGCUGGAUCACCUCCUUA
rnacentral:rRNA from 1 species